CGGACCGCUGGCUGGAAACUGCUGAUGACAUAGAAUCUGGCUUUUGACUAUAGUUUUUAUUUAAAACAAUCGAGUUUAAUACAUUCUCGUUGAAAAUCUCCUGUCAGCAAGCCGUUUUGCGUCAAACCCGAUCGUACGUUUGACUUGAUAUUGUCAUGUUGUUUAACAAAUAUUUUUUUUUAUGUUCAACGAAUUUGGAUACGGUUACACUGUUCUUAUGUCGUUU